rfam:Streptomyces sp. MTSC 1 210, whole genome shotgun sequence.
CUUCACCGACCCCAGCCACAACGGACGCCCACCCUGGCGCCCCUGCCCAUACGUCGCCAGCAGCGCCUGCGCCUC